AGAGCCGCCCAACCCAACCCCAAAAGCCACAGAAUCCAGUUCUCUUCAUAGGUCUCCGUUUUGAAUUACUCCGCACCCAUUCCUCGCUCGUGUCCAUUCUGAAUCAUGUCUCCGUUCUAAGUCUCGAAUCAUGUCUCCGUUCACAGAUGUCGAAGAAGCACUCACAGAUCUCGUAUUAGAACGUUCACCAGUUUGUCAAUAGGCUGAUAUGAGAAGGCAGAGGAAAAAACAG